UACGGGGGGGGCAAGCGUUGUUCGGAAUUACUGGGCGUAAAGAGCGCGCAGGCGGUCGGAUCAGUCGAAUGUGAAAGCCCCCGGCUCAACUGGGGAGGGUCAUUCGAUACUGUCCGACUCGAAGGCAGGAGAGGGAAGCGGAAUUCCCGGUGUAGUGGUGAAAUGCGUAGAUAUCGGGAGGAACACCAGUGGCGAAGGCGGCUUUCUGGCCUGUUCUUGACGCUGAGGCGCGAAAGCUAGGGGAGCGAACGGG
rnacentral:rRNA from 1 species